GGUUAAAAUAAUUAAGGGCACAUAGGGAAUGCCUAGGUAGUAAGAGCCGAUGAAGGACGUGGUAAGCUGCGAUAAGCUCAGGGGAGUUGCAAUCGAACGUUGAUC
rnacentral:rRNA from 1 species